AAAGCGCUCCGGGGUCGGUGGGAUUCCGAACCGGUGGUGACAGUCCACGAGCUGCGUGCGGGCCUCGGUCCGGACGUGGUUGACCCGGCGGAACUCCGGGACCGACGGUGAGAGUCCGGAUGGGAGGCGCGCUGG
rnacentral:ncRNA from 2 species